UAUAUGAUGUAAAGAAAUGUUACAUCGUGAUCUAUAUGAUGUUUAUCCAUAGAGAUAUAAGAAUAGAGUACGUGAGCCACAGGAGCGCACAUAAGUGAAAACCAGCACGUGAUAGAAAGAGAGAGAGCAACUAGGGUGUCUGGUUGUCUUUGUCUAAUCACGCAUGUCUGGCGUGCCGAAGGUUGUUGACACAAACAUAACCUGCUUCGUACUCUAUUUGAACAUGAUUAUACCAAAAAAGAAGAGCUCCAAGACCACAGAAAAAAAUUGCGAGACAUGCAGGACUGGCGAUGAAUUGGUCUGCGAGUAUUUUCUUGACUAAGGAAACUGCAUCUUUUUUGGGAAUCGUUCGUUCUAAUAUUGCAUAAAAGUAGUGAUGAAAUGGACCCUGUAUACUGCCGACUAUAAUCAUAUUUUUUGUUCGUAUAUAAUCGUGGACAUAUUUUUUAUCAUUAUCGUCAAUAUUAGGUAGAGUUAUUGAGUUUAUUUCAUUAUCUAUUUUAGUUUCUGAAUCGAGCUUUAACAAUUUUCCGCUCUGCAAGGAAACACUCUCGUUUCUGCUGCAUUGUUUCCAAUGCUCAUGUCCCUGCUGGAAAAGAUCACCGAAUCCCAUCAUUAAGCCGCAACUCACAGUAUUUGUCACUAACAGGUACUUUCCUAAAGAACAAAGUUUGUCAUAUCAGCAGAUUUCGAUUUCUUAAGAGAAAUAGAAAUAUUGAUUGAGCCAAGUCCAACUAUUACUCAAAUAUACAUUCGAACGUGUCGUGUUAAAUUUCUGUUUAUAGUCAAAUAGAUUCACCCUCAUUGUCAAUUAUAAUCUUUGAAACUUUUUCCUUCAUAUGAUUGAAAUUUCUAAGAAUAUAUCAAUCCUAAUUUUACUUUUUAGAAUACCAUUACACAUUCGGUUAUUGUAACUAAAUCCUUGUGGCCUUGACUCAGAUUUGGACGAGUUGUUGAUUGCCAAAAAAAAAAAGAUUCAAGGCUACUGUUUGUAUUAGGUAACAAACUAACAGACAACUGCUAACAAUACAACUCAUUAUACUUACCAAACAACUUUCCAAGUAUACCCAUUUACCUAGCUGUCCAGUGAAAUAUUGAAUAAUUGGUAAAUCUUUCAAUACUAUCUGAUGGACUGCAUAAUUUUUUAUUUGUAAAGGGAUGGGGUAGCUGAUGUCAGUGGGAAUGGAUUAAAAUUUUGUUGGAUUAGCUGAAUAUACAAGGGUAGAAAUAAGUGUAACAAGGAUUAUUCUUAUUUUAUAAGCCUGUGUUAUCUGAUAUGAUUCUUAAUUUUUUGGUGCUUGCGUAGAGAGAAAAUUAGUUGAAUUCGGUGUGGCAUAACGUUUUGAAAUUGAUCAAUUUAGGUUAUUGAAUUUUUACGUUAUAUGAUUAUGUAAUACACAGGAUAACUCAUAUGUUCCA
rnacentral:lncRNA from 1 species